UACAGAGGGUGCAAGCGUUAAUCGGAAUUAUUGGGCGUAAAGGGUGCGUAGGCGGCAUCGAAAGUUGGUUGUGAAAGUCCUGGGCUCAACCUAGGGAGGACAAUCAAAACUACGGAGCUAGAGUAGAGUAGAGGAAAGUGGAAUUUCAGGUGGAGCGGUGAAAUGCAUAGAUAUCUGAAGGAACACCAGUGGCGAAGGCGGCUUUCUGGACUCAUACUGACGCUGAGGCACGAAAGCGUGGGUAGCGAACAGG
rnacentral:rRNA from 1 species